AUUGAACGCUGGCGGCAGGCUUAACACAUGCGAGUCGAGCGGAGAUGAGGUGCUUGCACCUUAUCUUAGCGGCGGACGGGUGAGUAAUGCUUAGGAAUCUGCCUAUUAGUGGGGGACAACAUUCCGAAAGGAAUGCUAAUACCGCAUACGUCCUACGGGAGAAAGCAGGGGAUCUUCGGACCUUGCGCUAAUAGAUGGGCCUAAGUCGGAUUAGCUAGUUGGUGGGGUAAAGGCCUACCAAGGCGACGAUCUGUAGCGGGUCUGAGAGGAUGAUCCGCCACACUGGGACUGAGACACGGCCCAGACUCCUACGGGAGGCAGCAGUGGGGAAUAUUGGACAAUGGGGGGAACCCUGAUCCAGCCAUGCCGCGUGUGUGAAGAAGGCCUUAUGGUUGUAAAGCACUUUAAGCGAGGAGGAGGCUACUGAGACUAAUACUCUUGGAUAGUGGACGUUACUCGCAGAAUAAGCACCGGCUAACUCUGUGCCAGCCGCCGCAGUAAAAC
rnacentral:rRNA from 1 species